rnacentral:rRNA from 1 species
GGUUAAGCGACUAAGCGUACACGGUGGAUGCCCUGGCAGUCAGAGGCGAUGAAGGACGUGCUAAUCUGCGAAAAGCGUCGGUAAGGUGAUAUGAACCGUUAUAACCGGCGAUGUCCGAAUGGGGAAACCCAGUGUGAUUCGUCACACUAUCGUUAACUGAAUACAUAGGUUAACGAGGCGAACCGGGGGAACUGAAACAUCUAAGUACCCCGAGGAAAAGAAAUCAACCGAGAUUCCCCCAGUAGCGGCGAGCGAACGGGGAGCAGCCCAGAGUCUGAAUCAGCUUGUGUGUUAGUGGAACGGUCUGGAAAGUCCGACGGUACAGGGUGAUAGUCCCGUACACCAAAAUGCACAGGCUGUGAACUCGAAGAGUAGGGCGGGACACGUGGUAUCCUGUCUGAAUAUGGGGGGACCAUCCUCCAAGGCUAAAUACUCCUGACUGACCGAUAGUGAACCAGUACCGUGAGGGAAAGGCGAAAAGAACCCCGGCGAGGGGAGUGAAAAAGAACCUGAAACCGUGUACGUACAAGCAGUGGGAGCACCUUCGGGUGUGACUGCGUACCUUUUGUAUAAUGGGUCAGCGACUUAUAUUCUGUAGCAAGGUUAACCGUAUAGGGGAGCCGCAGGGAAACCGAGUCUUAACUGGGCGUUAAGUUGCAGGGUAUAGACCCGAAACCCGGUGAUCUAGCCAUGGGCAGGUUGAAGGUUGGGUAACACUAACUGGAGGACCGAACCGACUAAUGUUGAAAAAUUAGCGGAUGACUUGUGGCUGGGGGUGAAAGGCCAAUCAAACCGGGAGAUAGCUGGUUCUCCCCGAAAGCUAUUUAGGUAGCGCCUCGUGAAUUCAUCUUCGGGGGUAGAGCACUGUUUCGGCUAGGGGGUCAUCCCGACUUACCAACCCGAUGCAAACUACGAAUACCGAAGAAUGUUAUCACGGGAGACACACGGCGGGUGCUAACGUCCGUCGUGAAGAGGGAAACAACCCAGACCGCCAGCUAAGGUCCCAAAGUCAUGGUUAAGUGGGAAACGAUGUGGGAAGGCACAGACAGCCAGGAUGUUGGCUUAGAAGCAGCCAUCAUUUAAAGAAAGCGUAAUAGCUCACUGGUCGAGUCGGCCUGCGCGGAAGAUGUAACGGGGCUAAACCAUGCACCGAAGCUGCGGCAGCGACACUAUGUGUUGUUGGGUAGGGGAGCGUUCUGUAAGCCUGCGAAGGUGUGCUGUGAGGCAUGCUGGAGGUAUCAGAAGUGCGAAUGCUGACAUAAGUAACGAUAAAGCGGGUGAAAAGCCCGCUCGCCGGAAGACCAAGGGUUCCUGUCCAACGUUAAUCGGGGCAGGGUGAGUCGACCCCUAAGGCGAGGCCGAAAGGCGUAGUCGAUGGGAAACAGGUUAAUAUUCCUGUACUUGGUGUUACUGCGAAGGGGGGACGGAGAAGGCUAUGUUAGCCGGGCGACGGUUGUCCCGGUUUAAGCAUGUAGGCUGAUUGUCCAGGCAAAUCCGGAUAAUCAAGGCUGAGGUGUGAUGACGAGGCACUACGGUGCUGAAGUAACAAAUGCCCUGCUUCCAGGAAAAGCCUCUAAGCAUCAGGUAACAUUAAAUCGUACCCCAAACCGACACAGGUGGUCAGGUAGAGAAUACCAAGGCGCUUGAGAGAACUCGGGUGAAGGAACUAGGCAAAAUGGUGCCGUAACUUCGGGAGAAGGCACGCUGGUGUGUAGGUGAAGCCCCUGCGGGUGGAGCUGAGACCAGUCGAAGAUACCAGCUGGCUGCAACUGUUUAUUAAAAACACAGCACUGUGCAAACACGAAAGUGGACGUAUACGGUGUGACGCCUGCCCGGUGCCGGAAGGUUAAUUGAUGGGGUUAUCCGUAAGGAGAAGCUCUUGAUCGAAGCCCCGGUAAACGGCGGCCGUAACUAUAACGGUCCUAAGGUAGCGAAAUUCCUUGUCGGGUAAGUUCCGACCUGCACGAAUGGCGUAAUGAUGGCCAGGCUGUCUCCACCCGAGACUCAGUGAAAUUGAACUCGCUGUGAAGAUGCAGUGUACCCGCGGCAAGACGGAAAGACCCCGUGAACCUUUACUAUAGCUUGACACUGAACAUUGAGCCUUGAUGUGUAGGAUAGGUGGGAGGCUUUGAAGCGUGGACGCCAGUCUGCGUGGAGCCAACCUUGAAAUACCACCCUUUAAUGUUUGAUGUUCUAACGUUGGCCCCUUACCGGGGUUGCGGACAGUGUCUGGUGGGUAGUUUGACUGGGGCGGUCUCCUCCCAAAGCGUAACGGAGGAGCACGAAGGUUAGCUAAUCCUGGUCGGACAUCAGGAGGUUAGUGCAAUGGCAUAAGCUAGCUUGACUGCGAGCGUGACGGCGCGAGCAGGUGCGAAAGCAGGUCAUAGUGAUCCGGUGGUUCUGAAUGGAAGGGCCAUCGCUCAACGGAUAAAAGGUACUCCGGGGAUAACAGGCUGAUACCGCCCAAGAGUUCAUAUCGACGGCGGUGUUUGGCACCUCGAUGUCGGCUCAUCACAUCCUGGGGCUGAAGUAGGUCCCAAGGGUAUGGCUGUUCGCCAUUUAAAGUGGUACGCGAGCUGGGUUUAGAACGUCGUGAGACAGUUCGGUCCCUAUCUGCCGUGGGCGCUGGAGAAUUGAGGGGGGCUGCUCCUAGUACGAGAGGACCGGAGUGGACGCAUCACUGGUGUUCGGGUUGUCAUGCCAAUGGCACUGCCCGGUAGCUAAAUGCGGAAGAGAUAAGUGCUGAAAGCAUCUAAGCACGAAACUUGCCCCGAGAUGAGUUCUCCCUGAGACUUUAAGUCUCCUGAAGGAACGUUGAAGACGACGACGUUGAUAGGCCGGGUGUGUAAGCGCAGCGAUGCGUUGAGCUAACCGGUACUAAUGAACCGUGAGGCUUAACCUU